rnacentral:rRNA from 1 species
UACAGAGGGUGCGAGCGUUAAUCGGAAUUACUGGGCGUAAAGCGUGCGUAGACGGCUAUCUAAGUCGGGUGUGAAAGCCCCGGGCUCAACCUGGGAAUUGCAUUCGAGACUGAAUAGCUAGGGUACGGUAGAGGGAAGCGGAAUUUCCGGUGUAGCGGUGAAAUGCGUAGAGAUCGGGAAGAACACCAGUGGCGAAAGCGCUCUGCUGGACUGCAACUGACACUGAGGGACGAAAGCUAGGGGAGCGAAAGGG